rnacentral:rRNA from 1 species
CCCCAUCAAGGGGACAGCAAUGUCCCAUUUUACUUUGAGGAAAUUAGAGUGUUCAAAGCAGGCGAUUGCUUGAAUACUGCAGCAUGGAAUAAUGGAAUAGGACCUCGGUUCUAUUUUGUUGGUUUUGUAGAGCAUUGAGGUAAUGAUUAAUAGGGACAGACGGGGGCAUUCGUAUUGCGGUGUUAGAGGUGAAAUUCUUGGAUCGCCGCAAGACGAACAACUGCGAAAGCAUUUGCCAAGAAUGUUUUCAUUAAUCAAGAACGAAAGUUGGAGGUUCGAAGACGAUUAGAUACCGUCCUAGUUCCAACCAUAAACGAUGCCAACUAGCGAUUAGCUGCUGUUAAUCAAACGACACAGCUAGCAGCUUCCGGGAAACCAAAGUUUUUGGGUUCCGGGGGAAGUAUGGUUGCAAAGCUGAAACUUAAAGGAAUUGACGGAAGGGCACCACCAGGAGUGGAGCCUGCGGCUUAAUUCGACUCAAC